rnacentral:lncRNA from 1 species
AAGUACGCGGAGUUGGCCAUUAGGGAGGUCAAAAUACAACACGUACUUAGCCUUUACGCCCUACAGAGGACCCGCGGCACGAUGAUUCGGGCGAUUCCUAGCAGAUCGAGGGGCCUGGACACGGAAUUGGACGAUGUGGUCGACCCUCGCCCUUUCGAUCUCUUCUUCUAUAUCAAAACCAAUCAUUUGGUCCCUGCCUGGGUUCCCAAAGUCUUGGAACCAUGCGCGUAAGCUUUCGUUAAUCGUCAAAUUUUCCUUUUUUACUCUUCCUUACAUCUCGUGCUCGUAAGCAUUAAUUUGUGCUGAUUUUGUAGCCGACAGAUCGUCGCCGGCUCCACUGCCUGGAAUACGUGAGUGGUCGAGGUCGUUCUUCCACAUGCAGCGGGAAUAUGCACGUGGCCAUCGUUCUGGGACAGGCAUGGCCGUAGGCCUACAAUUGGUGAGGAUUUGACUUCUCCUUCCAUUUCGUUCUUGUUUCCAACUCUGUUUACUGACUUGGUGUGUUUUUGUGAUCAGGGAGGGCACACUGUCAGGGCUUCUCAACUAGCCCUCCGUAGGCCGGGUGCGACUUCUCAUCUUGCAGCACCGGUACCGUACCCAGUACCAAGGGUGUCAUCGGUUGAAUCUUCAGCAAUACCUUCCCCAACACAGACUGUACUUCGGACCAAAGAGCUAUCAGGGAUGGUGCGUCCUAGGGCGGAGUCGCCCUAAAAUGAGGCGGAGAAUGAAGAGGAAAGGUCGCUGGUUAGGCAGAUGAUCACAUUCAUGUCGG